CGAACACUUUUCUUUGUAAGAGUUAUCUCCCCAAACACUGUUUUUCUUGUUAUCAGAUCUCCUCCGCAACCGUAAAAGAAAGCGACAAAUUUAUUUUUCCAAAUUGCUUGUUAUAUCCUCAGGAUGUUACGUUUUAUUUUGACCGAAGCUUUACAAAGACCCCAUAUGAGAGUAAUUUCCCCUUUUGUAUUGAAAUAAGUGAAAUAAAUUUGUAACUGGAAAACCAUAAGUAAUAGAGGCCUAGGGUCUUUUGAUUUGAGGCCCUUGCUCAAAAAGUAUGAAAAUGAGGUCAAGGUCAAAGGUCAAGGUCAUGUUCAAAUUUUUGAUUUUGGCUUGUUAUCUCUUAUUUUCAGAAAUAAUACAAGAUAUCGACAAAAUAUUUUCACACAAUUGUUAGUUACGACAUGUCGUAACACAUAAAUUUUAGUCGAAAGGGUACGUAGACAUUUGACGCGAGUUUUCCCCCUUUUUAUAUCUAAUAUCAUACGUAUGGUAAUAUAACUCAUUAACAAUAUAAAGUAGAGGAUUAGAGUCUUUUGAUU
rnacentral:lncRNA from 1 species